CGGGCUCACUCACAGAUGGCCGUACCCUGUGUGGAUUUUUAAAACGACCUUUGAACUCGCCCUUUUAGUUUUCUAAAUGACACUCUGGAGCUCACAGGACCCAGGGACCAGCCGAGAGUGAACAAGCAGGCUCUUGAUGACCCAUUUUGCCGAGGGCAACACUGAGAUGCUGAGAAAUACGGGGUCCCACCCUCCGUGGCGGGCACCUGGGAGGUGGACCGAGUGCUCUGCGACACAGCCUCGUGGUCUUUUGCUCCAUGGUGCUGCCUCUGUUGCUGGGCAGCUCCUAAGAACUGGCUUCCCAGCCCCGAGUUGCCAAGGAAAUACUAAAUCCCGUUGGGCCGGGCCUGGGGUGUAUUUUGACUUCCUGUAAAGGAGGCCAGCCCCCUGUGCGGUCCUCCGACCUCCCUUCUCUUCCUCCCUGUGUUUGCUCUCUGCAUCCCCCUUACCUUCGCUCUUUCUCGCUCUCUUCUCUCUCCUCCUCUAGUUUCAUCCCGGGCUGGAGGCAGAAGACCCUGGGAUUUCUGCGUGAGGCCCAUGGAUGUCGAAGUCCUCCCGGGUCCCGGACCCCAUGUUCUCGCCCCGCAGUUAUGAUGCCCUGCACGACCGCGGCUUGGGGCCUGCAGGUACGGACGGCGCCCCCGCGGACACAGUCAGCAUCCCUCAGGACUCGCGGACCCACCUGAUGAGCGGCGGCUGCAAGGGCCCUCCCCUGAAGCGGCGGGGCGGCGUGGUGGACCACCGGGAUGUCAUCUUGGCCCACCAGGCGCACAAAAUCCACAGCACCCCCCAGGCCAGGAGGAAAGAAUGGGAGCCAGAGAAGGACUGGAAUAUUCUUUCAAAGCUGUCAUUUAAAAGUUCACAGCUGGGGCUUCCCUUGUGGCUCAGUGAUUAAGAAUCUGCCUGCCAAUGCAGGGGACACGGGUUUGAUCCCUGGUCUGGGAAGAUCCCACAUGCCACAGAGCAACUAAGCCCGUGCACCACAACUACUGAGACUGUGUGCCACAACUACUGAAGCCAAUGCGCCUAGAGCCUGUGCUCUGCAACAAGAGAAGCCUCCACAAUGAGAAGCCCAUGCACCGCAACGAAGAGUGGCCCCCUCUCGCCACAACUAGAGAAAGCCCGCGCGCAGCAACGAAGACCCAAUGCAGCCAAAAAUAAAAACAAACAAAUUUGUUAAAAAAAAAAAGUUCACAGCUGGGGGUUUCCCUACUGGUGCAGUGGUUAAGAAUCUGCCUGCCAAUGCAGGGGACACGGGUUCAAGCCCUCAUCCGGGAAGAUCCCACAUGUCACGGAGCAGCUAAACCUGUGCACCACAACUACUGAAGCCCACAUGCUUAGAGCCCUUGCUCCUCAACAAGAGAAGCCACCACAACGAGAAGCCCGCACACUACAACGAAGUGUAGCCCCCACUCGUCGCAACUAGAGAAAACCCGUGUGCAGCAAUGAAGACCCAACACAGCCAAAAAUAAAUAAAUAAAUUUAUUAAAAAAUGAAUAAAUAAAAGUUCACAGCUGCACGCACAGUUCCUAGAAGCAACCUUGCACACAUGGAAGCAUUUGAAGACUAAUGUGAAAGUGUUGGGUUUUUCAGCAGACACGUGUGAUUGAAUUUCUUUACAAAUUGGUAGGGAGCUUGCGCAUUGGGCCUAUUGGUAGGCCUACUGGAACAUUCUAGGACUUUUCAGUGCUUGCCUCAGAGUAAGAAUGCCCCAUUUAAAAGAGGCUUCAUCAAACAGGGCCAGGCUGGAGAGCUGAUUGGGUUUCUUAGCCACGGAUUAGUUCCUCUAAGUGCUGCCAAUUCUCUUUAGAUCUGUGUCUAAAAUCUCCAGACCUGAGUUAGGUCUGUGUGCUGGACUCUGGCUGACCUCAGCAGGUUAGCAGCACGGAGUCUUGGAUUUCUUUGCAGCGGAAAAGAGUUUUUGGUGACAGUGCAUCCAUGUGGCUUUGGCUGACCUGAGGAUAAUCAGUAGCAGAUUUUUAAUUCUGGCAGCUCUCAUGGACUUGAGGACACAUCAUCACCCCUUGACCUCUUGGAGGGCCUGUUAAAAAAACACAGGUAUUGGCACUUCCCUGGUGGUCCAGCGGUAAAGAAUCCGCCUUCCAGUGCAGGGGACGCGGUUUGAUCCCUGGUUGGGGAACUAAGAUCCCACACGCCGUGGGGCAACUAAGCCCACGCACCACAACGACUGACCCCCUGCGCCUCAACUAGAGAGCUUGUGUGCCGCAAACUACAGAGCCCAUGUGCUCUGGAGCCCACGCCACCACUACAGAGCCCACGCCCAUGCACUCUAGAGCCUGCAUGCCACAAUUAAAGAGAGAAAACCCACACACCACAACUAGAGAGAAGCCCAUGCACUGCAACGAAGAGCCCUCGCUACAAUGAGAGAUCCCACAUGCCACAACUAAGACCCGACGCAGCCCAAAAAAGGAAAAAAACAACCCCAAACCAGAAAACAACGAACAAACAAACAAGCAAACAAAACACAGGUAUUGCAGGGCCUGCUUGGAUUCAGCAGGUCAGGGCAGGGCCUGAAAAUCUACAUUUCUCACAAGUUCCCAGGUGAUGCUACUGCUGGUCCGGGGACCACACUUUGAGAAGCAUGGCUUUAGGUCCGUGGUUCCCAACUUGAGAUGCACAUUAAAGGUCACCUGGGAAGUUUUAAAAUUCCCAACAGCCAGGCCAUACCCCCAUUAAAUCCCGCUCUGGGAGUGGAGUCCAGGCAUGAGAACUUUGGAAGUUUCCAGGUGAUUCUAACAUGUAGUUAUGCUUGAGAACCAAGGUUCGGGUCAUCACUCUUCACUUUGCUCAUGAUACGCUCAGAGGAGGCUCCCAGGCUUACACACAACUAGGAAAUUUAAAAUCUGUUGGGGGAUAAAAAAAAAAAAAAAUCGUGGCGUCUAAUUCAUUCCUAAGCCAACGUGGAAUUAUUCUUGUUUGAUUCACUGUUUGGAUUCUUAUUCUUUUGGCUUCAAUUAUCUCCUCUCUGUGUAUUCAGUGCAGAUAUUCAGCUGGGACACAUUGCUCCAGCUGAUUGUUCAAAUAUUAACAUAUUUCCAUACCAGUUAGUAAAUAGCCGUUUCCCGGAGCCCCCUGAGUUCCCCCUCCAGCCAAGUCCUUUCCUGGGUCCUCCUACACCUCCUAACAAUGCACACUCCAAGGGUGGUGUCUCUUGCUUGUUGUUAAGUAGUUCAAAUUUCUCCCCAGUACAUUUGAACUACUUACCAAUAUCCAUAUCUUUAGUUUCCUUGUCUGAGCAGAGGGGUAUCUUGAAUAGGUAGGAGGUUGGUUUACAAACUCAGGAGUGUGGGGAAGUGUCUUUAUGUUUGGAGAAGGGAGUGGUGCUGAUUCCAAUCCCGAUUGUGACAUUGAACAGAUGGGGAAGUCCUCUAACCUCUCCGCUUCAGUUCCGCAUACAGUUGGGGUGAGACUUACGUGAAUUAAUGCAUGGGCAGGCCUUAGAAUGCGGUCUGGUGUGUAGUUAUUAUCAAAUAAGUGCUAG
rnacentral:lncRNA from 1 species